rnacentral:lncRNA from 1 species
AAGCCCAGGCCAAGAUGUACGUGCCAUCCCUCAUUCUUCACGUCCUCAUCCUCCAUGUUUGAUGCAUCAACACGUCCUCUCAGCUGACUUUCCAAUGGAUUCUUCGAACUGAUCAUUUUCUCUUGGUUUCCAUUACUAGAAUCCAGCUAGUUCAGCAAGUCACUACAAGAUCUGGGGCCUGGCUGCCUCCCAACUUGGUCUCAUCUCCUUCUUCCCCUCCCUCAGGAUGCUCCAGAGAAGAACUGAAGUUACAAUGCUCCGGUCCUGAAGAUGCCAGAAACUGGAUUAAUCAAGUCAAAGGACCGAGCUGGUAUUUGCCCUGGUCUUCCCGUCUCGCUUCCUCCUUCUAACAGAUAUGUAGGGGGUGUCCACUGGCUAUGAGGCCCCAUGCAAGGCACUGACAAUAUUGGGGAAGAAGUCUUGAAAACUCAGAUGCCAUCACCAGCUCUUCUUCCCAACCUCCCAUUUGCUGUUGAACUGCCGCACUCUGACAUCAUCCUGACCAGUCACUGACAGGACCCCCUGAAAACCAAAUCCAGACAGUGCUUGUAAAAGAUUUUAAAACAAUCCUCUUCAACCGAACAAACAUGGAAGUUGACUUGAAGAAGAAUAUUAGAUCCAACCUGACGUUUUUUGUAAGCAGCUCAUUAAAACACCUCACGUCCACAACUGUGUUCGAUGCUCUGAUCUCCUGACUCCCUCUGCUUUCACUCAGAACAGACAGGUGUGCGAGCACCUUGCCACCAGCGUCCUUGUUUCACAUCUCCCUAGAAGCUCUUUAGCAUUUGAGUUAUAAUUAUUUGUAUGCACAUUUCAGCUUCUUGUCCAGACUGUAAGCUCCUUGAUGACAGAGUCUGCUUCUUCCUUCUUGCAUCCGCCACAGAGUCCAGCAUAGUUCCUUACACAAACAGGUGCUCGGCAUUUACGACAUGCGUAAAUGAUCUGCUACCAAUCCAGGAAACAAACUGCGGAAAUUUACAUCCCCUCUCACUGACAAACUUUGACUUGGAGAAGGUUUCUCUGAAAUCCUUGGGAAAAGUUAAUCAGAAUCUCAGUCUACCAUGUUGCUUCCUUUAUAUAAUCCGGUGCGACUGUUCUUCCGGGUCGAUGAAAGCGCUGGGACAUUUGCCAGAAUGUAUUACUUUAAAAUUUAAAGUUUCAGCACUUUAGAAAUUGUUUUCCCUUUUAAAUACUUUCCCAAUAA